UAGGGAAUCUUCGGCAAUGGACGAAAGUCUGACCGAGCAACGCCGCGUGAGUGAAGAAGGUUUUCGGAUCGUAAAACUCUGUUGUUAGAGAAGAACAAGGACGUUAGUAACUGAACGUCCCAUGACGGUAUCUAACCAGAAAGCCACGGCUAACUACGUGCCAGCAGCCGCGGUAAUACGUAGGUGGCAAGCGUUGUCCGGAUUUAUUGGGCGUAAAGCGAGCGCAGGCGGUUUCUUAAGUCUGAUGUGAAAGCCCCCGGCUCAACCGGGGAGGGUCAUUGGAAACUGGGAGACUUGAGUGCAGAAGAGGAGAGUGGAAUUCCAUGUGUAGCGGUGAAAUGCGUAGAUAUAUGGAGGAACACCAGUGGCGAAGGCGGCUCUCUGGUCUGUAACUGACGCUGAGGCUCGAAAGCGUGGGGAGCAAACAGG
rnacentral:rRNA from 1 species